rnacentral:tRNA from 1 species
ACAUGGUUAGCUUAGUUGGUGGAGCACUCCACUGGAAAUAGAAUUGUCCCUGGUUCGAUAUCAGGACCAGGCG